rnacentral:piRNA from 1 species
CCGUAAUAUGUCGGGAGUGCAUUAUCAGGC